UUACUGAUAGUAAGAAGACUUUUUUAUUGUAGCCAUUGAAAACGUUUGGUAAUUUUUUUUAACUGAUACUUUUUAUUGUAGCUAUAGAUACGUUUGUAUAAUGUUUGUAGAUUGACCGUAUGAUUCAUAAUUGGCAAAGCCACGUGGCGGAGUUUCUAGCUUAGAAACUAACCCCGAAAAGCAGCUUCGCCAUGGGACAGAAAUAACACUUUACUUGAAGGGUCAAAGCUCAAGGCCAAAGGAAGGUUGCUAGAGAGACAACGACUAAUGUCGUUUACAUCAAUGGGAACCCAACAUUUUGUUUACGGCAGAACAAUGCAGGAUAUUUAUAAAGAUUACGAGUAUGAAGUUUAUGAUCACAACUUUGUUGAUGGCGUGUCUACAACCUUAUAAUCAUGUAAGUUUUUUGUGGUCCAAAUGAAAUAAACCAAAAGAAACAUUAAAGAUUUUUGUGUUCAUAUAGCCAUAUCUCAAACAGCAGCAUCCAAUUUCUUUUUAGGCUCACGAAGGGCAUUUUGAAGAUUUUGGUGGAAGGGUUAUGCAAAUGGGAUGGUGCACUUUCAAAGUUAACAAAGAUUAAAUCAAAAUAAACCAACUUUUAGAACAUGUUGAAUUGCCAUGUAAAUAUAUUGAUUUACAGCUAAGAAUGAAUAUCGAUAAAUUAAAGAA